UACGGAGGGUGCGAGCGUUGUCCGGAAUCACUGGGCGUAAAGCGCACGUAGGCGGAUCUUUAAGUCGGGGGUGAAAUCCUGGAGCUCAACUCCAGAACUGCCUUCGAUACUGGGAAUCUUGAGUCCGGAAGAGGUGAGUGGAACUGCGAGUGUAGAGGUGAAAUUCGUAGAUAUUCGCAAGAACACCAGUGGCGAAGGCGGCUCACUGGUCCGGUACUGACGCUGAGGUGCGAAAGCGUGGGGAGCAAACAGG
rnacentral:rRNA from 1 species